rnacentral:rRNA from 1 species
GACGAACGCUGGCGGCGCGCCUAACACAUGCAAGUCGAACGAGCGAGAGAGAGCUUGCUUUCUUGAGCGAGUGGCGAACGGGUGAGUAACGCGUGAGGAACCUGCCUCAAAGAGGGGGACAACAGUUGGAAACGACUGCUAAUACCGCAUAAGCCCACGACCCGGCAUCGGGUUGAGGGAAAAGGAGCAAUCCGCUUUGAGAUGGCCUCGCGUCCGAUUAGCUAGUUGGUGAGGUAACGGCCCACCAAGGCGACGAUCGGUAGCCGGACUGAGAGGUUGAACGGCCACAUUGGGACUGAGACACGGCCCAGACUCCUACGGGAGGCAGCAGUGGGGAAUAUUGCACAAUGGGGGAAACCCUGAUGCAGCGACGCCGCGUGGAGGAAGAAGGUCUUCGGAUUGUAAACUCCUGUUGUUGAGGAAGAUAAUGACGGUACUCAACAAGGAAGUGACGGCUAACUACAUG